CCCAUUCUGGGAUUGGAUGUGAGAAUGAUUUCUAAUAGAAACAAAUAGAUUUAUUCCUUUAGUCAAUAAUAGCUUUUUCUUAGACAAAUGGCAGUUUUUGGAAACAGAGUUCUCAUUCACAUUUGGGUUCAUUUUUUUAUAUCUUUGAGUCCUUUAAUAUGUUUCAAAUAUCAGAAACUAUGAAUAAAAGGAAAAGAGAGAUGAAUGUUAAAAUUUCAAUCAAUACCAGCAAGGUGGAUUAACAAAACAAGUGCCAAGAAGAUAAUAUAAGUUCUUCUGCUAAAGGUCAUAGCAUCACCUCCCUGAUAUAAAGGUACUCUUGGAGAACAAAGGACAAACAAGAACAAAAACAACUAGAUGUUGUAUCCCCACUACUUGACUGUCCACUCAAAGGAAGGCGCUUUUCAUCUUUUCAUCCUGACCACCAAACAAUUGGCACUGGAAAGAACAGUACUAUUCAAAUCCAUGGAACAGGGAAAAGGACUCAUCUGUGUAAAAGUGUUUGUAGCAGCUCUUUUCUAAUGGCAAAAGACUGGAAACUGGGAGAAUGCCCAUCAUUUGGAUAAUGGCUGAAUAAGUUUUGGUAUAUGAAUGUUAUGGAAUAUUAUCAUUCUAUAAGAAAUGAUAAGCAAGAUGAUUUCAGAGAGGCCUGGAAAGAUUUACAUGAACUGAUGCUGAGUGAAAUGAGUAGAACCAGGAGAACAUUGCACACAGCAACAAGAUUAAAGAUGAUCAAUUCUGAUGAACGUGGUUCAACAAUGAGAUGAUUCAGGCCAAUUCCAAUGGUUUUGUGAUGAAGAGAGCCACCUAUACCCAGAGAGAGGACUAUGGGAACUGAGUGUGGGUCACAACAUAGUAUUUUCCCUUUUUUGUUGUUGGUUGGCUUGCAUUUUUUUCUCUCUCUUUUUUUCCUUUUUGAUCUGAGUUCUCUUGUACAGCAUGGUAAUUGUGGAAAUAUGUAUAGAAGAAUUGCAUACAUUUAACAUAUUGGAUUACUUGCCAUCUAGAGAAGGGGGUAGGAGGAAAAGAGGGAAAAAAAUCUGGGACACAAGGUUUUGCAAAGGUGAAUGCUGAAAAGGAUCUACUCAUGUGUUUUGAAAAUAAAAAUAGCCUUAAUCAAAGCAGGAGAAAGUUUUUUCCCUACCCCAUUAAUUGUCCAUUUCCCCUCUUAAUGAUUCUACUUAAUUAUUUUGAUGGGUAACUUAUUUGUGUUUAUAAUAUUAGCUCUUUUGCCUUCUGGACUGUCAUUUCCCUUUAAUAUGGAAUGCGCUAAAUUUUCUAUGAUCCUGAUUGUGACUACAUGAUAUUGAAAUUGUAUCUUUCCCAUUGCUUGCAACGUUUUCUCCUUGACCUGGGAGAUGUAGAUUUUGGGUAUAAUAUUCCUGGGAAUCUUCAUUUGGGGAUUUCUUUCAAGAGAUGAUUGGUGGAUUCUUUCAAUUUCUAUUUUAAUCUCUAGUUUUAGGAUAUCAAGGCAGUUUUCUUUGAUAAUUUCUUGAAAUAUGGUAUCUAACCUCUUUUUUGAUUGUGGCUUUCAAGAAGUUCAAUCAUUUUAAAAUUAUGAGCCAUUGGUCAAUUUUCUAGGUCAGUUAAGUUUUUUUUCCCCAAUUAGAUACUUCAUACUUCUUCUAUUUUUUUAUUAUUCUGCCUUUCUUUUUAUUAUUUCUUGGUAGCUCAUGGAUUUAUUAGCUUUAACUUGCCCAAUUCUAAUUGUUGAGAACUUAUUUUCUUUUACCAUUAGGCCAAUUUAAAGGUGUUAUUUCCUUAAUUAUAUUUUUAUUUCUUUUACUAAGCUAGUAACUCUAUUGUCAUAAUUUUUCCGCAUCACCCUCUUUUCAGAAAGUUGAAUGGAUUUUCUGCAAUGUACUUAAUUGAAAGACAUGUCCAAAGUCAGGAAGAAUGGGCAGAAAUAGAUCUAUUUUAAUUUUCAUUAUUGGAGAGAAUACUCCUAUAAAUAAGAUCAGAGAUCCAUUUGAAGAUCAUAAUAUUUCUUAGGAUUUUUUUUGAGGGGGUUAUGGUAAGACAAUUGUUUUACUUCUAUUAUCACAUUUGAAUCUCACAAUAACCUUCUGAGAAAAGUCUUAUAGAGAUAAUUAUAUCUCUUUCACAAAGGAAGAAACUCUUAGAGAAGUUAAAUGACUUUCCUAUAGGUACAAAGUUAGGACAUAUUAUAGUUAAAAUAAAAACCCAAGACUUUAAUUUCAAGUCAAACUAUCUAUUAGGCCCCACUGACUUUUGUCUUCUAUAUCUGAGGAUUCAAGCUGACCUUAAAAACUCUGUUCUAGAAGUUAAAAUUUCUCUAAAUGAAGCCAUGAAUUUUCUUGUGCAUUUGCAGAGAAAGAAAUCCCUUUAUGAAUUAAAAAAAAAUUCUUGGAGUGUUGGUUUAUUGGAACAUCAUUUUUCAAAAGAAUUCAGGGUACUCACUUUAAGGGACAAUCAAAACUUUCUUCUUUCCCCUCUUUCAUUUAAUUUCAAUAAUUGUCCACAAAGAAAGCAUACAGGAAGCAUAAAAGUUUCACAUCCCAUGGCAAAAGCAAUUUGGCCACUUAUAGCUUUCUCUCUUAGGAGUCAUAGUCAUGAUCACCAAAUCUGCAAGAAAUAAAGUUGACUAGAUAAAUACGGAAUUGCAUUUCAUAUGGGAAAGGUUGCUUUGCAUUUCCUGAUUUUUAUAGGGAAUAUGUUUUCAAGGGAGAAAAAAAACCCAAACUUGUAUCUACAUAUUUCUACUUGGUGAAGAGGAGCACUGAAACUGUAGGCAUAAAUGAAAUGAUCCUGUCACAUGUUUCAUAUUUGCAUUCCAAUCAUUGAGGACCCAGACCAUUUGGGAUGCAAAUAAAAAUACUUUCCCUGUCUGUGCAAUCUCAAUACUCAAGUUACAUUAAAUUGUAGAGUUGACUUCCCUGAAUAUAAAUGCUUAAGGACUUGGCUCGAUCCAUUUAUAGGUCACCAUUAAAUAGGAUGGUACUCUAUACCCACACUGCUAUGAAGAAGUCAUGAAUAUUUUCAAGAUGAAACUAUCCAUGUUUAGUUUCCAUCUGACGGAUUUUUAAUAAAGAAGUCUGCUGGCUCUUAUUCAUUACUAAAAAUAUUGCUGAACUAUGAGAAAUGCAUUUACUUAUCAACUGGAAGUAUUAUCCUAAGAGGAAAACAUUUUCCACAGUUGGAAUAUAAUGAAAAGUGUUUCUUCUUGAAAAUGUCCCAGUAGAAUGGCCUCUAUUCCAGUAGGUAAGGAUUGGAAAGAGUUAGAGCAAAGGGGGAAGAAGUUGUCUUUUAUAGAAAAGUAGUUAAGUCAAGAUGUCUUCAAACGCCUUUCACAUCAUCAAACUAGAUUUAAGCACGCGUUUAAGGAAUUUUUGUUUUUGUACUGUUUAAGCAAAGAAAGAGCAUUUGUAAUUCUUGGUUAUCUUUAUAUCUUUUUGAUGAUACUGCCUGGCAUACUUUUGAAUAUUAGGAAUACCUUUUAAGUUGAAUGAAAUUGUACUUUCCAUUCUGUUCCAACCAUUAACUAAAUCAUGAAUUAACAAGAGAAUUAAUAACUUAGUAAAAGAAACAAAAUUAUAAUGAAAAAAAAGAAUAAUUCUUUUCUAGAGAA